GAAAGAAUUGUGGGCUCAUGAAUUAUCUCCAUUUCUUAUCUUUCCAUUUGUUCUUCGGACUUCUCCACUCUGGCUUCUGCCCACACUGCUCUGCCAAAAGUGCUCUCUCCAAGGUAACCAGUAACCUCUAUGUCGUCCAUUCCGGGGAGCAUUUCUGAGUCCUCAUCUUCCUGGAAUGCUCCUUGGAGGACCAUCUGAGAAUCCUUCUACUGCACACGGAAGAAAAUCCAACUCACAUUGUGGCAAACAAAGCAGUCUGCCUUUCCACAGAAGGUCAGAAAAUAGAAAUUCUGACUUUUUCAGCUACACCCAGUUCUUUCUACAGAGAGUAAACAUGAAGCUUCCUGUAGCAAAGAAAUGAAGUUUCAACCAGUUUACAGAACUCAGCAAGGUCAGGAUGAACGACAGAAUCACAAAGGACUAAGGAAUUCCACAGGGCCUAGAUUUCCAGGGGAGGCUGUCGCCUGUUGGUAAGUCACCCAGUAAGCCCAUUCCAAACCAG